rnacentral:rRNA from 1 species
AGAGUUUGAUCCUGGCUCAGAUUGAACGCUGGCGGCAGGCCUAACACAUGCAAGUCGAGCGGCAGCGGGAAGAUAGUUUACUAUCUUUGCCGGCGAGCGGCGGACGGGUGAGUAAUGCCUAGGGAUCUGCCCAGUCGAGGGGGAUAACAGUUGGAAACGACUGCUAAUACCGCAUACGCCCUACGGGGGAAAGGAGGGGACCUUCGGGCCUUCCGCGAUUGGAUGAACCUAGGUGGGAUUAGCUAGUUGGUGAGGUAAUGGCUCACCAAGGCGACGAUCCCUAGCUGUUCUGAGAGGAUGAUCAGCCACACUGGGACUGAGACACGGCCCAGACUCCUACGGGAGGCAGCAGUGGGGAAUAUUGCACAAUGGGGGAAACCCUGAUGCAGCCAUGCCGCGUGUGUGAAGAAGGCCUUCGGGUUGUAAAGCACUUUCAGUAGGGAGGAAAGGUAAUAGUUUAAUACGCUAUUACUGUGACGUUACCUACAGAAGAAGGACCGGCUAACUCCGUGCCAGCAGCCGCGGUAAUAC